rnacentral:rRNA from 1 species
UACGAAGGGGGGCUAGCGUUGCUCGGAAUCACUGGGCGUAAAGGGUGCGUAGGCGGGUCUUUAAGUCAGAGGUGAAAGCCUGGAGCUCAACUCCAGAACUGCCUUUGAUACUGAGGAUCUCGAGUUCGGGAGAGGUGAGUGGAACUGCGAGUGUAGAGGUGAAAUUCGUAGAUAUUGGGAAGAACACCGGUGGCGAAGGCGGCGACCUGGUCCGACACUGACGCUGAGGCGCGAAAGCGUGGGGAGCAAACAGG